ACUGCCUGCCCAGUGACAUCUGUUCAACGGCCGCGGUAUUAUGACCGUGCAAAGGUAGCGUAAUCACUUGUCUUUUAAAUAAAGACCGGUAUGAAUGGCAAAACGAAAACUCAACUGUCUCCUCAGACAAGUCAGUGAAAUUAAUUUCCCCGUGAAGAAGCAGGGAUAAUAAUAUAAGACGAGAAGACCCUAUGGAGCUUUAAACCAAAACUACCCACACUCUUUAAACUUUAAAAAGUGGAGUUAGCUACAGGUUUUGGGUUGGGGCGACCGCGGAGUAAAAAUUAACCUCCGAGAAAAAAAUUAAGAAGGACACUUCAAAAAAUAAUAAUAUUAAUACAUUUGACCCAACAAUUGAUCAACGAACCAAGUUACCCUAGGGAUAACAGCGCAAUCCUUUCAGAGAGUCCUUAUCGACGAGAGGGUUUACGACCUCGAUGUUGGAUCAGGACCCCCAAAUGGUGCAAAAGCUAUUAAAGG
rnacentral:rRNA from 1 species